rnacentral:lncRNA from 12 species
AUGACUUUUCAAAGUAACCUAAAAGAAAAGAAAAAAUAACAUGACGCACAAAGAAUCAUAGCUGUCGAAAUGUUCUAUCCAAUCUGUUGCCCAUGGUAAAGAUUCUGAGAAUUAGUUACAAAAAUAUGAGGUUCUUAAAGAUGCAUUGGUGGAAUUCAAAUAAGAUGUCACAAAUAUAUCAUGCAACUCUAUCUCUAGUUGCUUCACUUCAUGUUUCAGUGAUACCCUUGAAAGAAAUGGAGCGAUUCUUCUCUGACACAAAACCAAGAUUCUGAUUCUCUGACCUAAGGAGACACAGACGAUGUGGGUAACUCGUACAGAUUUCUGUGGCGCCACGGGUUAUACUUCUUCAUCAUAUCUUCUCUCUUAUUCUACUGAUCUGUUAUUUAAUGCCCCAUAUGUUUAAUUUAAUUUGUAUGUGUUUUUAUGUGUUUUACUCCCCCAGAUACUGUUAUCUCCUUAUGGGAAUGGAUCCCAGCAGCAUCCAACACAAUGCCUUGUGUAUAGUGGCAUCUUAAGGAAAUAUCUGUGGUCUUGGUUUGACUUAACUCUUACAUUCUAAGGGUUUUGUGAGGCUAUGAAGAAACUAAGAGCGUAUGCAUGUGUCAUUUGCCGGGAAAGGACCUCGAACAUCAUGAGGAAAGUAAUCAGGCAAAUACAAGUGAAGAAAUCAUAGCUGUGUUUGAAGAGGAGGACAUUUAGAAGAUAAUGAAAGGUGAGGCAGAAAAUAUGGGUUCAGUGGCCAUUGUGGGGGCUGAGGUAUAGGAUUAAAGCACAUAUUUAGAAAUGCAAAAGAGAAAAUCAUACCACAAAUUCCAAAAAUUUACCUGUGUUAGCUAAGUUUGAUGGGGAACUACAGGAGUCAAAACUAAGUGAAGCCACGUUCCCUUCAUCCCAAAUGUACCAAACUCCUUUUGCAAAUCCCGUUUCUCCAGUUUCUUCUCAAGGCAACUUUUAAACAUGCAAGGCUUGUACAUUGCAGGUCUGAUAUAAAUAUGCCAUGAACUUUUUCUGAUACCAAGAACAUGGAUUCUGAGGCUUUUAGACAUAUUGAACGACUUAUCUUUUCACUCCAACUAAUUUCUACUCUCUGAAUCUAGAAGGCACUCAAAACACAAAAUGAUUUAAUACAAAUGAUGUAAUGCCAUGUAUAUAUUUUAGGCUUUUCCUUGCCAAAGUUCCACUUAAAAAAAAAAAAAAGAAGAAAGAAAGAAAAAGAAAUUAUUCUCAGAAGACACUGCACGCGAUGAAAGCUAUUUAUAUCCCUCCACCACU